rnacentral:piRNA from 1 species
CGAUUUAGACCUGCUGGUGCUGC